rnacentral:lncRNA from 10 species
AUCAUGAGCAAAAGUACAGAAAUGAAAAUAAAUGACUAUUGUAAUUUUGUUAAGGAAUUGGAGGAACCUUGUCCAGGGACAGCACAGACUUAUCAUAACAGAGGAGAAGUGCUAUACACAGGAAUCUCUGAGUCUCAAAAGGAUGAAGGAGUCACAAGAUGGAACGAGCCUGGCUCCCUGAAUCACAACAUGGAGGAUGCCACCCACCAACCAGGAACACAUUCACUAGAUGGUUACAAUUGUUAAAAAAAUCUUUUACUGUGUUAAGCCAUUGCAAAUUUAGGGUUUAUUUGCUGUAUCAGCGUGAUAUACCCUAAAAUACAUAUUUAGCAAUUUCUAUUAGUACCCAACUGCCUUUCCUAACAUAGCGAUGAGAUUAUCUAUGGUUCUCAGGUUUGUGACUUUAUUUGAAAAUCCAGCUGGAAACCAUCAUUCUCAGCAAACUAUCGCAAGGACAAAAAACCAAACACCGCGUGUUCUCACUCAUAGGUGGGAACUGAACAAUGAGAACACAUGGACACAGGAAGGGGAAUAUCACACACGGGGGCCUGUUGUGGGGUGGGGGGAGGGGGGAGGGAUAGCAUUAGGAGAUAUACCUGAUGUUAAAUGACGAGUUAAUGGGUGCAGUACACCAACAUGGCACAUGUAUACAUAUGUAACAAACCUGCACGUUGUGCACAUGUACCCUAAAACUUAAUGUGUAAUAAUAAUAAUAAUAAAAAUCCAAGAUAAAA